rnacentral:rRNA from 1 species
GCGCUACCUUCGGGUGGAGCGGCGGACGGGUUAGUAACGCGUGGGAAUAUACCCUUCACUAUGGAAUAGCCUCGGGAAACUGAGAGUAAUACCAUAUACGCCCUUCGGGGGAAAGAUUUAUCGGUGAAGGAUUAGCCCGCGUAAGAUUAGAUAGUUGGUGGGGUAAUGGCCUACCAAGUCUACGAUCUUUAGCUGGUUUUAGAGGAUGAUCAGCAACACUGGGACUGAGACACGGCCCAGACUCCUACGGGAGGCAGCAGUGGGGAAUCUUAGACAAUGGGCGAAAGCCUGAUCUAGCCAUGCCGCGUGAGUGAUGAAGGUCUUAGGAUCGUAAAGCUCUUUCGCUAGGGAUGAUAAUGACAGUACCUAGUAAAGAAGCCCCGGCUAACUCCGUGCCAGCAGCCGCGGUAAUACGGAGGGGGCUAGCGUUGUUCGGAAUUACUGGGCGUAAAGCGUACGUAGGC